AUGGAAGGGAUGAUUAUUUCCCCAGAUGAUCGAUGCUGAAUAUGCUGAGCGAUUUUUCUCUUUUGAGAAUCCAAGCCAGUCUUCUGAUCCAU